rnacentral:lncRNA from 1 species
UGCCUCAUUUUCUGAUUAUAUUUUAGAAAAUCCAAAGAAAGAGACUCGUGUGACGCUUGCUCAAGUGCAGCUACAGCACGCACCGCAUCCUCAGGCCACACAGAUUAUUAGCUCCAUCAACUUCCUUCCUAUUUCCACCACUGUCAUCCACAUUACUGCAUACAAAUUUUACCGUUUCUAGAACCUUCUCUAACCAUUUAUCACGUUGCUGAUCACUAGUGACAGCAUCAAACUUCACAAGAAUAUUAUAAUAUUCCGAAGCAGCACUGUUACAACUUCCCGGUGUUUCGGUCCUCGACAACGGUCCAGACCGGUCGCCUGCAGCAUCUUCAUCUCUGGUAACAUCCAACGAUGACAUACUCUUUCUCCGUAACAUCCUUUUACUUUUUAUAUUAUCUUCUGGUUCAACGUCUUCGUCAAUUUUGAUAUCAGGAAGGUCUCCUAUCCGUGACAUUGUUUUUUGAACAAGAAGAUCGAUUUCGUGUUGCAUGGAUGUAAUUUACGGCUCGGGAUCUGUUUGUGUGCGGGAAUGAAGU